rnacentral:rRNA from 1 species
GAUGAACGCUGGCGGCGUGCCUAAUACAUGCAAGUCGAGCGAACGGACGAGAAGCUUGCUUCUCUGAUGUUAGCGGCGGACGGGUGAGUAACACGUGGAUAACCUACCUAUAAGACUGGGAUAACUUCGGGAAACCGGAGCUAAUACCGGAUAAUAUUUUGAACCGCAUGGUUCAAAAGUGAAAGACGGUUUUGCUGUCACUUAUAGCUGGAUCCGCGCUGCAUUAGCUAGUUGGUAAGGUAACGGCUUACCAAGGCAACGAUGCAUAGCCGACCUGAGAGGAUGAUCAGCCACACUGGAACUGAGACACGGUCCAGACUCCUACGGGAGGCAGCAGUAGGGAAUCUUGCACAAUGGGCGAAAGCCUGACGGAGCAACGCCGCGUGAGUGAUGAAGGUCUUCGGAUCGUAAAACUCUGUUAUUAGGGAAGAACAUAUGUAUAAGUAACUGUGCACAUCUUGACGGUACCUAAACAGAAAGCCACGGCUAACUCCGUG